rnacentral:lncRNA from 1 species
CAAGGAUUUAAAUUACCCUCCUGUUAGAGGAAAAACUUAUUUCCUUUAGGGGUCUAAGUUAAAACAUGAUCCCUCCAAUGGGACAAAAAUAUGAAUGCCAUGAUACUGCCUUGGUCGUUAACCAAGGGCAGGGGGAGGGGAAACAGGAGAGUUGUUGUUAAAUUAGCAUAAUUUCAGAUCUGCAACAUGAGAAAGCUUUGGAGAUCCAUUUCACAACAAUGUGAAUAUACUUAACACUAUGAACUGUACACUUUAAAAUGGUUAAGAUGGUGAGUUUUAUUUUAUGUGUGUUUUUACCACAAUAGAAAAGACAUAUAUUUGGGGGAAAAAAAGUGAGCUCUAUGAUUAUAUGUUAUAAAUUAUAGCUCUGUAUUUAAUUGAGAAUCACCUCUGGCCUGUAGUCUAAAUAAGAUGGUUUCCAUUCAUCAUACAGAUUUAUAUAUAAAUUUAUAUAUUUAUAUAUCAUUAUAUAUAUGACAUAUAUAAGAAGUUCCUUAUUCUAUAAUUUUUAACUAAUUCCAGCAGGCUUUAUAAAAUAUUUUGUACAUAUAUACAUAUAUAGAAUAACUUUGAGCUAUUCUUACAUAAGUUGGUUACUGUCUUAGUUAAGUGGAAAAUCAGACACAGACUUGAGUGUAAGGAACUUUUACUUUUUCUACAAGUGAAGUUGUAAAGGAACACAUUAGCCUAUUAAUUUCACCAAAUAAUUAGAAUGACAUUAAAGAGAUCAUGCCACUGAAUAUGUAGGUACAGUUCUAAACUGGGUUAAGAUCUAGCAACAGCGUUCUGACUCAUGACCAUCUUGUCUCAUUUUCUCCACAUCCCCUCAAAAGGCAGUUUUUCCUUACCCUUCCCUGUGGAGUUGGACAUGCCUUGACUGUUCAUCUUUACCAUUUUUCCAGAUGACAAAGUUAUGGGAGAUUCACAGAGCUUUGAGAUUGAAAAUUGCCUAGCCAACAAGUACAAGUAUCAGUUGUGCCUGGAGGAUAAGACUGAGCUAAUGAAUAAACCUUUUCAACACUGAAGCGCAGAAGAGAAAGGAGGUUCCGGCUUGAC